AUGGAGUUGGCUCACUCUCGCAACGAGCGCAACCCUCGUGUUUAGUUGCCAUAUGAGUUUGGAACCCUGAACAGACCGCCGGUGUUAAGCCGGA